CUAUGUCACUAUAGUGCACUUAUCUUUUUGGUCAACCGUCCUGAGAGAACUCCACAGUUAAGCGUGCUUGGGCUAGAGUAGUUUCAGGAUGGGUGACCUUCACAGGGAAAGAUCAUGUGGUGAUUUGUA
rnacentral:rRNA from 1 species